AGGGAAGCUAAUCGUCUUGCCGAU
rnacentral:siRNA from 1 species